rnacentral:rRNA from 1 species
UACGAAGGGGACUAGCGUUGUUCGGAAUCACUGGGCGUAAAGCGCACGUAGGCGGAUGUGUCAGUCAGGGGUGAAAUCCCGGGGCUCAACCUCGGAACUGCCUUUGAUACAGCACGUCUCGAGUCCGGAAGAGGUGGGUGGAAUUCCUAGUGUAGAGGUGAAAUUCGUAGAUAUUAGGAAGAACACCGGUGGCGAAGGCGGCCCACUGGUCCGGUACUGACGCUGAGGUGCGAAAGCGUGGGGAGCAAUCAGG